UCUGACCUUAGUCAUCGUAUAUUAUACCAUGACUAUGUAUGGAAAUACGUGUCGUGUGGAAGUACGCAUACGUGUCUGGUGUACAACUUCCUUACCACACUUUAUACGUGUCAGACGUAAUCUUUUUUCUCAGUGUGCCGAAUGUCAACUA